rnacentral:sRNA from 1 species
GGGGAAUGAAGGCUAAAAGCAUCACGUCCUAUGAUAACGCCUGACCAACCUCCUGCUGU